UCAGCCUCUACACACCAUAUUCGUCCAACCCUACACUCUAUGUGGAGAUAUAAUCAACCCACCCAACACUACACUCCAAGUAGUACCGAAUACGGCACCAUAUAGUAAUAUGCAGCGGAGCUGCUAGUAAAUCAAGCUCGAGGCCUAUCAAUGCACUUCUUCCGCAUAAUAUAACCCCUAACCCAACCCAACCCAAUGCAGUGCAAUAUACAACAUGUCA
rnacentral:lncRNA from 1 species